rnacentral:lncRNA from 1 species
GAGAGAAUUUAACAUUACAAAAAAUCUUAACCUUUUUUUCAAGAAGUUACUGAACCAUAAAAAUGAGGUCAAGGACAUUGGACAUGUGACUGACGGAAACUUCGUAACAUGAGGCAUCCAUAUACCAAGGAUGAAGCAUCCAGGUCUUUAACCUUCUAAAAUAAAAAGAUUUUAAGUAGUUUUCUAAGUCCGUCGCUGUAGCGGCUGGAUC